ACUUGGAAACAGGUGCUAAUACCGUAUAACAAUCGAAACCGCAUGGUUUUGAUUUGAAAGGCGCUUUCGGGUGUCGCUGAUGGAUGGACCCGCGGUGCAUUAGCUAGUUGGUGAGGUAACGGCUCACCAAGGCCACGAUGCAUAGCCGACCUGAGAGGGUGAUCGGCCACAUUGGGACUGAGACACGGCCCAAACUCCUACGGGAGGCAGCAGUAGGGAAUCUUCGGCAAUGGACGAAAGUCUGACCGAGCAACGCCGCGUGAGUGAAGAAGGUUUUCGGAUCGUAAAACUCUGUUGUUAGAGAAGAACAAGGAUGAGAGUAACUGUUCAUCCCUUGACGGUAUCUAACCAGAAAGCCACGGCUAACUACGUGCCAGCAGCCGCGGUAAUACGUAGGUGGCAAGCGUUGUCCGGAUUUAUUGGGCGUAAAGCGAGCGCAGGCGGUUUCUUAAGUCUGAUGUGAAAGCCCCCGGCUCAACCGGGGAGGGUCAUUGGAAACUGGGAGACUUGAGUGCAGAAGAGGAGAGUGGAAUUCCAUGUGUAGCGGUGAAAUGCGUAGAUAUAUGGAGGAACACCAGUGGCGAAGGCGGCUCUCUGGUCUGUAACUGACGCUGAGGCUCGAAAGCGUGGGGAGCAAACAGGAUUAGAUACCCUGGUAGUCCACGCCGUAAACGAUGAGUGCUAAGUGUUGGAGGGUUUCCGCCCUUCAGUGCUGCAGCUAACGCAUUAAGCACUCCGCCUGGGGAGUACGACCGCAAGGUUGAAACUCAAAGGAAUUGACGGGGGCCCGCACAAGCGGUGGAGCAUGUGGUUUAAUUCGAAGCAACGCGAAGAACCUUACCAGGUCUUGACAUCCUUUGACCACUCUAGAGAUAGAGCUUCCCCUUCGGGGGCAAAGUGACAGGUGGUGCAUGGUUGUCGUCAGCUCGUGUCGUGAGAUGUUGGGUUAAGUCCCGCAACGAGCGCAACCCUUAUUGUUAGUUGCCAUCAUUCAGUUGGGCACUCUAGCAAGACUGCCGGUGACAAACCGGAGGAAGGUGGGGAUGACGUCAAAUC
rnacentral:rRNA from 1 species